AUGGCCGGAGAGGCAGCAGCACCCCGAGCUGUCAGGCGUUCCGCCGCGGCCGCGAGGCCCGCCGGCCGGCGGGGAGCUACGCCCGGACGGCCAGCAGGCCCGCGGGAGUGGGGCUGCCGCGGCUGAGGCGAGGCGGGCCGCGCGCGUCGGCGUCACAGCCCGCGGCAGAGGCGCCCAGGGCGGCCGGGCCCACGACGCCGAAAGCGCCGCUGCGGUUGCCGCCUCGGAGGCUCCCCCGGGCCCCGGCGGCUGGACCCGGCGCGGGCGGGAGGCUCGGGCGGGCGGUCCGGCCCGGGACUCGGGUUUGGGCGACCAGGAGGUGCCGGUGGCCGCGCUCGGACCCGGUUCUCCAACGGAGGAGCUUUUUAACCUCUUUCCGGUGAGGUGGGAACUCAUCUUCAUGAUCGAAUUUAAAAGAACAAUGGAACCCUGACUACGUUUCAACAAAAAUAAAACUUGUUUUUUUCCCUCCUAUUGGGUGUUGGCUUUUAACUCUUUCAAAGCCGAUUUUGAAACGGCUGCAGUGAUACAUGCGAAGGUGACUUAAGAGAUUAAAAUUAAUUUGGUUGCUGUUGGUUCUGAACAAAUAAUGAGUUCUUUUAUUUGAGGUAUGCCAUUUUGAAGACUGAGACGUUGGAGUUUUAUCCUAGAGGAUAAAGGAAAUCUUUGGGAAAGUCAGUAUUUUAUAUAGCAAAAAUAUGAACCUCAAACUGAAUCCUCUAAAGGCCCCAUACAAUGAAGUAGACAUUGGUGGAAACAUUUACACCCAGUCAGCUUGAAGAGUUUCAAAUGGACCCUACCACUGAGAAAUCAAGAUGGCAGUCUACUAUGGGGAAUUGAGGAAAAAUGGAUUAAUACAAGAGUCCUGUGAUAAUAUACAACCAAGACAGGGUUCUUUUAACAUGGAUUCCAUGCAGUGAAUGAAGACAUAGGUUUCUUACCCAACACAAAUGGACAGUGGAUUUGACUUUCUAAAGACUUUUUUUGUGGACAUUUUGACAUUUGGAGAAGAAAGAUGGCACACUAACCCAGAUAAUAGUUUUUAUGCCUGGAAUUUUUUGCAGUUUGAUUUGUAUGCGUAUGACCUCUUGAAAUGUUAAUUUUUAAUAAAAUUUGUAACACUUAAAAAUUUCUCAGUUUGGGUUUUUUUUUUUAAGUGGAAGUUUAAUUAAAUGUUUAGUUUUAUUUUAGUAAUACUUUGGCCUUUGUAGUUGCCGAGUGGUAAAGUGUACUGAAUAUGAAUAAAGCUGGUAAAUUGGAAAUGGUGUAAUCGAAAACAUUUUACUUGGUUUAUGAAGAUUUACGUUUUUCACAAAGUUGUGCUCUUAGAUGGUCAUUUGGUUUAAAUACUGUUUUGUUUGUGCUUUCAUGAAACACCUUUCAAAACAACUCAAUGGGUAAUAAUAGAAUCUGAUUUUAAUCUGCCACAAGAUUUUAAUGAACUUGAAACAAACUGCUUGUUGCUCGAAAAUUCAGGAUGAGUGAUACACAUAUACUUCUGAAUUAUUUUGUGUUGAUUGAAAUGGUUUCUUAAGCUUUUUAAUACUAUAAAUACAUCUUGCUAUAGAAUAUUCAUCUGAAUAUUUAAAUUAAUGUCUCCUAUUGUCUUACUAUUAGAGGAAGAAGUGUUGGAUUUAUGGGUUAGGGUCCUUGGAGUAUUCACAAUUUUUUAAAUUUGAAAUUAUGUGUGUAAUCCAUUUUAUAUAACUUUGAAGUAGGAUUAAUAUCUUGUAUCGUCUUUAUUUUGUACAAUUGGGGAUUUAGAAUAAAUGAAUUGCACCCUGCCA